UACGAAGGGGGCUAGCGUUGCUCGGAAUCACUGGGCGUAAAGGGUGCGUAGGCGGGUCUUUAAGUCAGGGGUGAAAUCCUGGAGCUCAACUCCAGAACUGCCUUCGAUACUGAAGAUCUUGAGUCCGGGAGAGGUGAGUGGAACUGCGAGUGUAGAGGUGAAAUUCGUAGAUAUUCGCAAGAACACCAGUGGCGAAGGCGGCUCACUGGCCCGGUACUGACGCUGAGGCACGAAAGCGUGGGGAGCAAACAGG
rnacentral:rRNA from 1 species